AUGUCUGCAGUCACUCUCACCCCCAGAACGAGCAGUCAGGUGACUGUGACUCAGACACCAUUAGUGUCCUUUACUCCAGGAUCCACGGUCACUCUGACCUGUAAAACAAACACAGCGGUUAGUGGCAAUAACCGUUUAUUCUGGUACCAACAGAAACCCGGAGAAGCCCCCAAGCCCAUCAUAAAAUAUAUAAACCACCUUGUAUCACCAACACCGGCUCGGUUUAGUGGCACUGGCUCUAACCAGGGAACUGACUUCUCUCUGACCAUCAACGGCGCCCAGCGUGAAGAUGCAGCAGUUUAUCACUGUCAGAGUUACCAUAGUGGCAGUGUGUUCACACAGUGA